rnacentral:rRNA from 1 species
AUUGAACGCUGGCGGCAGGCUUAACACAUGCAAGUCGAGCGGAGAGAGGUAGCUUGCUACUGAUCUUAGCGGCGGACGGGUGAGUAAUGCUUAGGAAUCUGCCUAUUAGUGGGGGACAACAUUUCGAAAGGAAUGCUAAUACCGCAUACGUCCUACGGGAGAAAGCAGGGGAUCUUCGGACCUUGCGCUAAUAGAUGAGCCUAAGUCGGAUUAGCUAGUUGGUGGGGUAAAGGCCUACCAAGGCGACGAUCUGUAGCGGGUCUGAGAGGAUGAUCCGCCACACUGGGACUGAGACACGGCCCAGACUCCUACGGGAGGCAGCAGUGGGGAAUAUUGGACAAUGGGCGCAAGCCUGAUCCAGCCAUGCCGCGUGUGUGAAGAAGGCCUUAUGGUUGUAAAGCACUUUAAGCGAGGAGGAGGCUACUUUAGUUAAUAC